CUACACACUCAGUAUGGCUUAGUCCAAUCCUCCUUGAAGGAGGAAGUGGAGGUUUAAAUACAGUAGCACAGCAGCGUGGAGUCUUUCACCCGGAAGUCAGCUCAUGCAUGUGUGUACAGGGAUUAAAUCAUUAGCAUCAGAUUAGCAAACAACCUAGUGACAGGUCGCUCUUGCCAAUCCAGGCAGGGAAUCUGAAGAUUACAACUCGGAACUCACGAAUGGAGUGGGAGGGAUGCAUAACAUAACACGGCAGGCGUAGAUGGAUCAAUUGUUUAAUGUGUAUGAAAACUUCAAACCAGAUUGUCUUUUGUGGGUUCAAGGAACAGCCUGGGAUGUGUGGCAGCGAGGAGGCCGGUUGAUCCCCAUGCAAAGGACCCUGUUGACCAAUGGAGCCCUGUUGCCUGCAGCCCGGUAACCCUGGGUUCACAAGCAGACCCUCUUCUCACCCUCUUCUCCGUACUCCCGGGUCCCUCUGUUGUGCACAGGGUACUGCUGGUUGACGCGGCAAAAGGUGGCGAGGCCGUGGCAACAUGGCAGGAGUCUAUCCCAGCAAGCCUAGCAGCAUCUCCCCGACUCCAAGAAAGUAGACGCCCUGUGCAAUGCCAAAAAGGGGGGCGAUGACCAGCGCGCGACACGUUGCGCCCUUUAGGAAAGCUGACGGCCCCUCUCGCCUCAUGAUGCGCCUGCAACGGAUAAGAUGACAAAUUGGAUGCUCGCACCUCAAGUAUGUGGCUCCAAGAUGGUGGGGUUUUAUUCCAAAACGCUCACCGUGUGCAGUCCAUGAUUCCUCUGUAGCUGUCCUCUCCUUCGCCUUUUUGCAGUGUUUGCAGGCGAGUUUUUAUGACUGUAUGGGUGGGAAAGACGUCUUUUAAUUCUACUACAAUCUGACGGCCCGCUAGAGUAAGUGGCAGCUUGUCAAUCAAAUGCAUACAUACAAAGGUCUUGGGCAGAAAACACUUAUUUAGCGUAUCUUGGUGAUAAUUCAUACAUAAAGUAUGCCCUCGCUCUAUCACGGUUCACAUUUCGCGGUUUCGCGGAUUCGCUGUAUUACUGUAGUGCUUUUUUAUUGCAGGUAUGAAAGUUGUUACAGGCAAGCGUGGCCCUUUUAAAAAGAAGUGCAUUGUGGGAAGUUGUGUCUUUCUCACGCUCCCUCUUGGGUCGAAACACAGUUCUCUUGCUGUGGUCUGUCUGCACCCCCAUUGUUUUCUGCGUCCUGAUUGGCUGUCGGCCGUUGUCAAUCAAUCUACUUCGCGCCCUACCUUGUCUCCUGCACGUGUCAUCGCUAGCUUGCGUGCUCGCUAGCUUGAAGGAGGACGACGCCGAUAUGUUUCAACAAAGGUACAAAUACUACAUUACUACAUCAUUUCUUGUGCCCUCUAGCUUUUUUGAGAGAAUUUAAAGAAGAGAAAUGGGAUUUGUCUGAGAAGUGUAUAAAAUGUAUGGUUAGGGGGUUCACAGCAUUAACAUAUGUCAUAAAGAAGCUGUCUACUUAGCCAAUUUAACCUAAUGUGGGCUCAUUUGGGAACCAAUGCCCCUCAAUAAACGAGACACAUUUUUAAUUUAAAGUGAAAACAAUGAGAUAAAAUGUCAAACAUAAAAGAUAAAGGUUUAAAUGUGAGAUCAAAAGUCAUUUAUAUAAGUCCAAAUAGUGUGCUAAAAAGUCAAAAUUAUCAGAUCAAUUAUAAGAGCACCAGAGAAGCCACAUUCCAUGUCCCAAGAACCAGAUUUGGCCACCAAAGACAUUUUUCUAACCAGCUUGACUUCAAUUUGGUGGAUUAAAUCUUUUUCUUAAACGUCAAAGUGAAAAAAUGUUGGCAUGACAGCCGCCACUCUCUCCAUCCCAUAGAUGCCACGCCCUGGCCUCACUGGCGAUCAUUCAUCAACUGGCUUUAUUACGUGCGUGGAUUAAGAAUUUAUAUUCACUUCCUCUAUUAAAAGUCAACUGUCCUUGAAGAAUAGCAGACUGACCAUUGGGAGUUUGUUAGCAGAACCAGGCAACCAGGAUGACAACAGGAAGAAGAAUAUGACGUAUCGUACUGUAGCGCAGCGAACUCCAGUUCAGAGUGGCGGUGCAAUAAAUGCCCGAUCACGUUCCACACUCACCGUCCAGUGGCGUGACGGCCACAGCUGCCACCGAGCCUGCAGCGCAGCCGGCCACAAAGGACUGCCAGAAAGGUGCCCGGGCCUGCACGGCGCUCGGACUUCCGUCUUUUUCCCUCCCCAGCGAGUUCAGGUUGGCAAACAGUGGGAAGUAGAUCAUUGAGAAGGGGACAUCCCUGGAAAAGAUGGUGUGUCAGAGGGUUUAGUUGCACAAUUCAGCAUGUCAGAGAAAGUUUAUUUCAUCCUCGGUGGGAAUUGGGGAAGAAGGGUGGAUAGAAAUGACUAAUAGCGAUCAGACCAAAGCAGAACGUCAACGUAGCAGCCAGACAUCGCUGGGGGAAUGUAUUGAUUUAUGUUGAUUAGAAGAGCCUGUACAGCAAACACUGUUCAUGACGGUUAUGUAAUCCUCACAGAAGCAAUCAAAACACUAAUGGCAACAGCUGACAAAUCAACUUAUUGUACAUAACUAAAAUACAAAUAGUAGCCAUUAUGACUGCCACUCAAUUUGGGAAUGUUGUAGUCCAAAUUGGUCAAAGCAUCAAACUUAUUAAAAGUAUUUUCUGUGCGUAUACGCUAUACUCGGCCAUACAUUUUGGUACAUUCCUUGAUUCAUUUUCUACCAUCUAUCCUGACUUUAGAUUUGGCUAUGUCUUCCAAGCACAAGGCAGGCUCUCCUGGUGGCAGGAAGUGAAAGUGAACAUCAUAAAUAGCUCAGAGAGGGGAGAAACGCCCACUUCUGGUCUGAACCACUCGACUGUCGCGACCAUCAUUAAGGAUGGAGAUGUAUCAUUAUAUCCUGCAGUGGUUAAGGGUUUUUCUUAGGUAUGAAUCCCAACUGAACUCAUUCGUAACCCGAGUACCACCUGUACUGACUUGAGCAACCUUAAAAGUGUAAAAAAAACAAAACAUUGAUGUGUGUGUAUGACCUCAUUAAGGUGGCUCCUGCUCCCCUAUAGAGACCACUUAGACCUCGAGUCUUCAGCAACUCCAUUGUGAUGCUGGUGGCAGAUGCACGCUGGGCAGGACCGGGUCGGGCCGGCUGGGGUGCCACCAAUGAUGGAGCUGGCCCGGGACCAGUAGCCUGAGCUGGUGUGUGGACUUUACUCUGGGCAGCUGAGGAAUGGAACUCAUCCUCCCUGCGUCCUGUAGCUGGAUUUUCAGCAUCUCCAUCGGUGUGGUGACCACCACCUGACAGGUACCAGCCCCGCACCCUGCCAGAACCUCCCCCCACAAGGGCAAAUGGCUAAUGACACAGACAGACAAAAUCAUUGUUAAUAUGGUUACUUUCCAUGCACUUGUUUCCUCUCAAGUCUACUUCAUUGAAAUGAAUUACAACUUGGAAAAUUCUCCGAAUACGUAAAUGAGUGGUUGAACAAGUAGGAUAUGUCUACAGUAUGUCAAUACACUCCAGCCGAGUUGGAAAGAGUGCAAGAACUGACAUUUUGCAGCGUUGGAUCUUAGGGAGCUUCUACGUAGCACAUCAAAAUGCAAAAGAAAUACCCAUCCUUUGAGAGCUUCUGUCUGAAGGCAUCGUUAGCGGCCAGUUUGAUGGCCUUUUCCGGUGUGACGAGAGUGAGGUUGACUGCUGCACCUGAAGGACACAAACCAGCGAAUGACACAGUCGCAAAGGCCAAUAGAAUAGAACCAUUCACCAGCACGGAGGCCAGCGCCAUUGAUGAGCUAAUGAGCAGAGGGUUUGCAGUGCAAAACAAGCGAGUGGGUGGCGGGAUUAGGUUUGUUUGAAAUGCAAAGAAUACCUCUGUAGCAUCCAAAAUAGCCUUCUGAGCGCACCGUCUUCGCUAGACAGUCCCACCUUCAAUGACCAAAGAGGAAAAGAUGAACUACGAUAACAAUAGAACUUAAACAUGCUUGCUUUAUACACUGUGUCACUGAGCACGCCUUAUAUACAUGCGCACACGACAAUCUACAGUACGGUCUGGACAAAUGAAACUUUGUUAUUAUUCGGCCUGGAAGGGAAUAAAACAUUCCGGCUGUUUUUCCAUCUCUGAGUCACAGUGGAAAACCACAGUCUGAAAGUUUAGCCACACCCAAUCACAAGGCAGGACGCAUGCCCAGCACAUGAGAGCAGCGGGGUCUUAUAAGGACACCACUCUUCCUUGCCGCUCAUAUUUGCCCACUUUCAUAUUUCAGCAAACCAUCCGGCUGCAUUGUAAAGGUGUGUGGUGCAACUUCUUACCAAUGCCACUGAGCAACACUGCAGAUAGGAGUGUUUUUAGCUCCUCUAUGGUACGUCUGUGACACUGCAAACAUUGGUCAAUUCGUCAGGACACAAAGGUGUGUUGCGGAUCCAUCCGGUUUUUGUUUUUCUUGAAGAUAAUAUUCCAAAAAUUACAACUUAAGUCGUUUGUUUGUCAUAUCACGACUUAACAAAUAUUUCAACUUUACGCAUUUAUAUGCAAGAUUUCUAUUUUUCCUCUUAAUAUUAUUACUGCUGAUUCUACCAUUGUUUUGGUAGUUUUCUUGUUAAAUUAUACUUUUAAAAAUGUGCUGUGGGCCACUCAUGCACCCACCCCCUUUUUUUCUAAAAAAUUUACAA